UACGUAGGGGGGCAAGCGUUGUCCGGAAUCAUUGGGCGUAAAGAGCGUGUAGGCGGUCCGUUAAGUCGGCUGUGAAAGUCCAAGGCUCAACCUUGGGAUGCCGGUCGAUACUGCCGGACUAGAGUUCGGAAGAGGGUCGUGGAAUUCCCAGUGUAGAGGUGAAAUUCGUAGAUAUUGGGAAGAACACCGGUGGCGAAGGCGGCGACCUGGUCCGAGACUGACGCUGAGGCGCGAAAGCGUGGGGAGCAACAGG
rnacentral:rRNA from 1 species